CAGAGGGAUGCAAACGUUGUUCGGAAUUACUGGGCAUAAAGCGCACGUAGGUGGUCCGCUAAGUCGCGUGUGAAAUCCCCCGGCUCAACCGGGGAAAUGCGCGUGAUACUGGCGGGCUUGAGAUCGGGAGGGGUGAAUGGAACUCCAGGUGGAGCGGUGAAAUGCGUAGAUAUCUGGAGGAACACCGGUGGCGAAAGCGACCCGCUGGACCUCUUCUGACGCUGAGGCGCGAAAGCCAGGGGAGCAAACGGG
rnacentral:rRNA from 1 species